UAAAAUACGUUGAUGGGAACUAGUAGAGAUGAAGACAGGCAGAGAGAGGCUCUGGGUGGUGUAAAGAGCUGCUGUUGACAUUUUGAACUCAUCCCUGAGUGGAGCACUGAAUCAAGUAGGUGGCUACGGUAAUUGCGACCGUUAUCACGCUAGAGUAUGAACUUAAACAUUUAAGCGUACUUAAUGAGGUUGAUGUUGUGAAGCAUCAAUGAACUGAGGUGGAACCACGGAGUAUACGCGCUCUCGUCCUCUUU
rnacentral:ncRNA from 1 species